rnacentral:rRNA from 1 species
AUACGUAGGGUGCAAGCGUUAAUCGGAAUUACUGGGCGUAAAGAGUACGUAGGCGGUUCUGUAAGCGUGAGGUGAAAGCCCGGGGCUUAACUCCGGUAAGCCUUUCGAACUGCAGGACUUGAGUGCUGGAGGGGAAAGUGGAAUUCCUAGUGUAGCGGUGAAAUGCGUAGAUAUUAGGAGGAACACCAGUGGCGAAGGCGACUUUCUGAACAGUAACUGACGCUGAGGUACGAAAGCGUGGGGAGCAAACAGGAUUAGAUACCCUGGUAGUCCACGCCGUAAACGAUGAGCACUAGGUGUCGGGGCAGCAAUGUUUCGGUGCCGCAGUUAACGCAAUAAGUGCUCCGCCUGGGGAGUACGCACGCAAGUGUGAAACUUAAAGGAAUUGACGGGG